UACCCUGUAGAACCGAAUUUGUGUGAUAAAACAACAGUCACAGAUUCGAUUCUAGGGGAGU
ensembl:miRNA